CGACGUAGGGCGCGGAGCGUUGUCCGGAUUUAUUGGGCGUAAAGAGCUCGUAGGCGGCUUGUUGCGUCGUCCGUGAAAACCUGGGGCUCAACUCCAGGCUUGCGGUCGAUACGGGCAGGGCUAGAGUUCGGUAGGGGAGACUGGAAUUCCUGGUGUAGCGGUGAAAUGCGCAGAUAUCAGGAGGAACACCGGUGGCGAAGGCGGUCUCUGGGCCGAUACUGACGCUGAGGAGCGAAGCGUGGGGAGCGAACAGG
rnacentral:rRNA from 1 species